rnacentral:lncRNA from 1 species
GAUGCCCGGGUUUAAAUGGGAGAUUAUGAUUGGACUCAUGUGGCCAUAUGGGUAUAUGUUUAGUAUCAUAUCUAUUAUGCAUUGGAAAGAUUUUGGAUACUUAUAUAGGGCCAAAUAAUCUAAACAAUACCUUCUAGCUAGCUUUUUUGGGUAAAGCCUUGAAUUUCACAAAAUUCAAUAGGGGAGAAACAAAGAAAAAACUGAAGGAGAAAAGGGAAAAAAAGAUAGAAAAGGGAAAGAAGAUUAAAAGAUUUAGAAAAGGGCAAGUAAGGGGGGAGAGAGGGAAAAAAAUGAGAUAAGAAUAAGAGUAAGGACUAGGGAAAAAAAGAAGAAUAAAAAGAUGGAAUUAAGAAGGGAGAAGAAUAGGGGAAAAGAAAGGUCAUUCGAAAGAGAGAGAGAGAGAGGGGAAAACAUUAUAUGGGUGAGAUGAGAUUAUAAAUCAGGAAAACUAUAACACAACUUGAAUUGUCGUUUUCAGUCUCAUAUCUUACUAAGUCACGAACAUUCAAAACUAAUAGAAAGAGUUAAGUGUAAUGCCAGAAUGAACAGGUUAAAGUAACAUUUAUAUAUUAUAUGCCUAAUUGGCCAUUGCCUAGGUGGUUUGGCCUAGGUGGUGAUUUUGACAACCUGCUAUUGACCAGAAGUUCUUGAAUCCAUCAGCCAUUCCCUUUUUCACAGAAUUUUCUGUAGUCUCAUCUUUGUUCCUGUCUAAUCUUAUGGUAGUUCAGGGUUAUUAUAUUUCUAAAUGGCUUUAAUAAGUGUUCAAUCAGGGGCAUUGUAGGUAUGGUUGCAACUACUACCUUGACUACUUGCACAGGAUGUAAACUAGCCAAGCAGAAACCUUCCACAAGAGUUGCUCAACUCAGUCUCUUUCAUUUAUAUUAGCAUUAUGUCGUAUAAAUAGAAGCUCCUAAUAUAACCCAUAAUGAUGCCUUUAGCUUUUAGACAGGUAAUGAGGGAUUGAUUUAUCUCUACAAUAUUUCUUUUUAGUCUGGUAUGGAGCAUGGAAAUGGGAUAUGGCAUAAUAAUAUGAUUUUUAGGGAGAACUGUGAAAAUUAGGACAGGUUACAGCCGGGAUAUAUUAUAUGUAUAUACACAGUAUGUAUGUAUAUAUAUGUAAAAUUGGGACAGGACAUGCAGAUACAUGUGUAUUUACAUAUUUAAGCAUAUGUAUUCAUGUACACAUGCAUAUACAUAAGUAAAAAUAAUAUUGACAAAGCAUGAUGACUUAUGAGGAUAAUUUAGUCCAUACUCUCAAUAACAUCAAAAUCACAAACUUUAAAGAAGAGAGUUGGGGUCUGGGGGGGGGGCGCAUCCUCCUCCAUGUCCAUCAUUAAUAGUUCAAUAUUUGUCAGAAAUAACAAAAAAGAAAUAAUCUUCCCCCUCAUCCUCAGAGGUGUCCGGGAAGAAUGCCAAGCAUAUUCAGUGGAAAUAUUUGGAGCUUUUUAGUAAUUUUAAUAUAUAGGAUACUUGAAAAUUGAAAUAAGUAUGACAUUUAUCUAAGCUAUACCCAAUAAGCACGUCUAUCUGAUAUUUAUUGGAUAUGGAUAUGCCAUGUAAUUUGAACUUUGAAGCAUAUGUCUGUCCUAGUUUGUUUGUUAAAAUUUGUGUGCAGUUAUUUAUGAGUCUCAAAUGACUUAAUAAGCAAGUGGUGACUCAAGAAUUUUGGACAGUAAUCUCUAGCUAUUGACCUGAGAUUCAAGCCAUAGGUACAGGGGAAACUGCUUAUAAUCUUUGAUAAUCAUUUUGAUCGAUGCUCGCCAAAAGAUGGGUGCUUUGUUUUAAAUAUACAAAUAUUUUAAUUGUAAUUUGUUCAUGUUUGGGAUAAAAGUGGUUCCUACUUUAGAUGAUUUUAUUGUGAUUGCUAAAUGAAGGCCAACUCCACUUGGGUUUCCUUUUCCAAAGGGGAGACCUAUAUUUUUCCUAGGUCUUCUUUCCAAAAGUGGAAGGUGAUUGGUCUUCAUUCUCCUAUAGGCAAUUAUAAAGAGAUGUGCAAACUUUUUUGCCAUACUGCAAGCAACAAUUUUAGAUUAUCUUCUUUAAGAACUUUCUCCUUAUAUUUCCUGGAAGUAAACUAGUCAACUUUAGAUCAGCUUCCAUACUUAUUCGCAUCCAAACAUCUACAAUGAGAAAGAGCAAAGGCUUUAAUUAGGUUCAUCAGAAUUUGUUCCUUUGUUUUAAAGGAUUAUAUCUAUGAACCAUUAUAUGACUGAAAUGAAACAUGAUCACUAACUCAGGGGAAUGCAUUCACUUGUC